UACGGGGGGGGCAAGCGUUGUUCGGAAUUACUGGGCGUAAAGGGCUCGUAGGCGGCCAACUAAGUCAGACGUGAAAUCCCUCGGCUUAACCGGGGAACUGCAUCUGAUACUGGAUGGCUUGAGUUCGGGAGAGGGAUGCGGAAUUCCAGGUGUAGCGAUGAAAUGCGUAGAUAUCUGGAGGAACACCGGUGGCGAAGGCGGCAUCCUGGACCGACACUGACGCUGAGGAGCGAAAGCCAGGGGAGCAAACGGG
rnacentral:rRNA from 1 species